rnacentral:lncRNA from 1 species
CACUCACUGUCAUGUACUGUUCCUCUUACUGCUGGCCCUCCAGUUGAGGCUUUUAAGUAAUAAGGAGAGCCUUAGCCAUCAUACUUAGUUUGCACAUUGGAUGACAUCCUUUAAGAAAACUUACUUUUCUAGUUAAAGUUGUCAGUUUUUCUCACACAUAAAACCAGAAAAAUAGAUUCAUCUUAGAAAUUUUUAUAAUCCCUGAGGACAGUUCUGUGAGUUGAAUCUUAAUGAAUGAAGGGUCAAGGUUGGAAUCCUGCGACCUGAAUGUAACCCAUUGUCAAAAUCUAUCCAAGGCUCUCCAGAGUAACAGGAGCCUGGUAUUUCUGAAUCUGUCCACCAACAGUCUAUCAAAUGAUGGAGUAAAGUCGUUGUGUGAGGUCUUAGAAAAUCCAAACUGUCCUCUAGAGAGACUAGCGUUAGCAAGCUGUGGCCUCACAAAAGUUGGUUGUGAAGUUCUUUCCUCGGCUCUCACCAAAACUAAGAGGUUGACACAUUUAUGCUUGGCACACAACGUCUUGGAAGAUGAAGGGAUAGAGCUGCUCAGCUAUACCUUGAGGCAUCCACGGUGUACUCUACAAAGCCUUGUG